rnacentral:tRNA from 1 species
GGAAUGUAAGUACGCGAGGGGGCAGAUGUAGCCAAGUGGAUCAAGGCAGUGGAUUGUGAAUCCACCAUGCGCG